AUGCUCUUGAAUUCCACGUACUGACUUGCCCCAGACUUUAUCAAAAGAUCGAUGGAACUAUCCGCACAAAAUAAAAGCCUAGGUCCCGAUACAUCGAGAUUGAACUUAUUCGACUGUUCAUCCAAAAGUUGAGUGGAAAACGAGGAAAUCUCGACGUCCAAAUAGAGGGGGCGUAUGGCGAGAUUUACGACGGAGUAGUCGUCGCUGCUGGUUGCGCUGGUGGAGGAGGACGACGGCGGUAGAGGAGUAGAAUUGGAAUUGAAGAAAGAGGUGAGUUCCAAGAUGGGGAGAGAGGAGAAGUGAGAUCCAUAGAAUUUGUUUUGGUCGAGGUGAAGUACGGAUUUUCCUGAAGCAGAGGCUGCGGCGGCGAUCAUAGAUUCUGGUAGACCGGUUCCGACGACGACGAGGUCGAAGGUGGUGGGAUCAAUUGAAGGAUAGGACGGAGGUUCACUCAUGGCGACGCGUCAGAGGAAGUCGUUAGGAGAUAGUAGCCAACAGCCA
rnacentral:misc_RNA from 1 species